CACUUCGGUGGGGAUUAGUGGCGAACGGGUGAGUAACACGUGGGCAAUCUGCCCUUCACUCUGGGACAAGCCCUGGAAACGGGGUCUAAUACCGGAUGAUACUUCUGCUCGCAUGGGUGGGGGUUGAAAGCUCCGGCGGUGAAGGAUGAGCCCGCGGCCUAUCAGCUUGUUGGUGAGGUAGUGGCUCACCAAGGCGACGACGGGUAGCCGGCCUGAGAGGGCGACCGGCCACACUGGGACUGAGACACGGCCCAGACUCCUACGGGAGGCAGCAGUGGGGAAUAUUGCACAAUGGGCGAAAGCCUGAUGCAGCGACGCCGCGUGAGGGAUGACGGCCUUCGGGUUGUAAACCUCUUUCAGCAGGGAAGAAGCGAAAGUGACGGUACCUGCAGAAGAAGCGCCGGCUAACUACGUGCCAGCAGCCGCGGUAAUACGUAGGGCGCAAGCGUUGUCCGGAAUUAUUGGGCGUAAAGAGCUCGUAGGCGGUCUGUCGCGUCGGAUGUGAAAGCCCGGGGCUUAACCCCGGGUCUGCAUUCGAUACGGGCAGACUAGAGUGUGGUAGGGGAGAUCGGAAUUCCUGGUGUAGCGGUGAAAUGCGCAGAUAUCAGGAGGAACACCGGUGGCGAAGGCGGAUCUCUGGGCCAUUACUGACGCUGAGGAGCGAAAGCGUGGGGAGCGAACAGGAUUAGAUACCCUGGUAGUCCACGCCGUAAACGGUGG
rnacentral:rRNA from 1 species